AGCGAACGCUGGCGGCAGGCUUAACACAUGCAAGUCGAGCGGGCGUAGCAAUACGUCAGCGGCAGACGGGUGAGUAACGCGUGGGAACGUACCUUUUGGUUCGGAACAACACAGGGAAACUUGUGCUAAUACCGGAUAAGCCCUUACGGGGAAAGAUUUAUCGCCGAAAGAUCGGCCCGCGUCUGAUUAGCUAGUUGGUAGGGUAAUGGCCUACCAAGGCGACGAUCAGUGGCUGGUCUGAGAGGAUGAUCAGCCACAUUGGGACUGAGACACGGCCCAAACUCCUACGGGAGGCAGCAGUGGGGAAUAUUGGACAAUGGGGGCAACCCUGAUCCAGCCAUGCCGCGUGAGUGAUGAAGGCCCUAGGGUUGUAAAGCUCUUUUGUGCGGGAAGAUAAUGACGGUACCGCAAGAAUAAGCCCCGGCUAACUUCGUGCCAGCCGCCGCAGUAA
rnacentral:rRNA from 1 species